AUAUAAUAAAAAGAGGAAACCAUGGCUGUUCACGAUCUUGACAGCACCGAGAGUUCACAGGGCCAGCCAGAUUUAUUAUAUAAAACAGUUUUAAAGAUUUUUUGGAUCUUUGGAUAACGUCGAGGAUGGUCGAUGUGAUUCAAGGGGUGUUCCUGGAUGGGAGGCAGUGGAUAACUUGGCAAAGAUCUUGCCAGAUCUUUUUAUCUGCAGACUGUUCAUCACUCAUGGCCAGGCUGCCCAGAGACCUGAUGCCAACAGGGUUUCAGAAUGCACUGCCCUCAAGCUUUUGAAGGAAUACGAGGAAGCAAGAAAUAGGCCUAAAGACAACAAAGGAAAAACCUUUCCCAUUCCCCAGUCAAUUGUGAUGACAUACAAUCACAUCAAGCAGCUGCUUGAAGACUGGAGAGAGCUACUGGACCAGACCAACUUGGCUGCUUGACAGACAGAAGAGAACUGAGCGGGACACCUUGCAGCAAGGAGUGGAGCUUCCCCAUCAGGCCAGUUUGGCAAAGGAUUCACCGCCAAAAGCUACAGAGCUCCC